rnacentral:misc_RNA from 1 species
GCGGUGCAAGACUUGGCGGUCCCUUCCAAAGCCUCUUCAGUUUAUCAGGCUUUUCACACUGCUCAACACUUCAUUCCUUUCUCCGAUUCCACAGUCUCUCUCUAUGGAUUUUAUUCUGCCUUUCAACUUUCAACCUAAACUCUCUCGUUCCACGCUACUGCAUCUCUCUCUUCUUUUAUGCAUUGCAUUUUCUCAUUUCACAUAACUACCGUCACCUGUCGGUACCAAACUGGCGUAUCCAAUGUCGCCACGCGUGACUUUUUUUGGCAAAAAAAUGGAUUACGUGUCCUCUCCAUGGCCAUGGGCGAAUAGCAACUUGCUUGCCAAUUUGGGUUUCGCUUUCUAGGACUAGGAGAGCAGGUGGCCAAUGCCAAUACAAGUCCAAUUCAGUAUUCUUUACCAUUUCCAUAAACGACACUUGUAUCCGAUCGUUUCGAGAAAUCAAAGCAUUUCUGCUUUGAGUAAACAACUGUGGACGUGGUUGUUCUUGCCUUCACUUUGUACCUAGGAUGGGAUGGGGAAACAUUUACAGAAGGCGUGUGAGAGUAUUUGCAGCGGCUGUAAUGAUCUAUCUGGAUUAUAAGGCUGUACAGCAAAGAGAUAAAUGGACCAUCAAAUCGAAAAGAGCUGCAUUGUGGGAGAAGGCUCAUGAGCGCAAUGCUAAGCGUGUUCUCAACUUGAUGAUAGAAUUGGAAGGAUUGUGGGUAAAACUUGGACAGUACUUAUCCACACGUGCUGAUGUGCUUCCUCCUGCAUAUAUAUCACUUCUCAAGCAGUUACAGGACUCUCUUCCUCCUCGUCCUCUGCAAGAGGUUUGUCAAACUAUAGAGAAAGAACUGGGAAAAUCCAUGGAUGAUCUUUUCUCAGAUUUUAACAGGACGCCUUUGGCAACAGCAUCAGUAAGAUACCUUUUUUUUAAAUGGAAAGCUAAAACUAACACAUACUUAGGAUGAAAAGUAUUCUAUGGUAUAGCAGAGGGAGAACAUAUUUUUUUUAUUAUUAAUUCUAUUGAUCCUAUAUUAUAUUCUGUGUAGAUUGCACAAGUCCAUCGUGCAACACUUAUUAAUGGGCAGGAGGUGGUUGUUAAAGUUCAACAUGAGGGCAUUAAAACAAUUAUAUUGGAGGUUUCUCACUAUUUUUUUCUUAAGACGCUAAAAUGAAGAGUAACAGUUGCUAACUUUAUGUAUCUUUUGCGUAUGCCAUUGUUUUUCAGGACUUAAAGAAUGCCAAGUCAAUUGUUGACUGGAUAGCAUGGGCAGAGCCUCAGUAUGACUUUAAUCCCAUGAUAGAUGAAUGGUGCAAAGAAGCUCCAAGAGAACUUGACUUCAAUAUUGAAGCUGGUAUGCUUUGAUUCUUUCAUGAUAUUUAUGUUGGGCGGAUUCUGUCAAUUUUGAACUUGACAGAUAAGGAGUUGUUUUCUUCUAGUGAGUAAUGAAUACAAGUCAAAGGUAGGUAUGGUUAAUUUUAAAUGUACAGAAGUAAUUUAAUCAUCUGGAAAAGUGAAAUUCAAUUAUAUUUCAGAAUUUCACACUGUGGAUGAGCGUAUUAGGUUCCUGUUUAAUUGAUUUGAUUAUAGGGGUGAUAGGAUGUUCGAUACUCUGGAGCUUUCAUUGGCAAUGCCAUAGCAGUAGUGUGGCAAACAUAAGUGAUGGCAAUGCUAUCAGAGAGUGGUGAAGUAGCUUUAGCAUAGUGGUGUUUAAAUUGGGGCCGUUGUGGCGAUUGAAAUAUGUUAGACAUUGAGGAUGGCAGUGACCAACACUAGGCCACAUAAUACUAAAGGUGGUGUUCACAGCAGUGGCAACAACAGUGUCAAUAGUUCUGCUGUGAAGAGUUUGAUGGUACCGUGGUGCUGAUGGUAAAGCAGUAGUAACUGAUGUGAUGACGUCAACAUGUGUUGGUGGUAAUUUGAUGUCAAUGAUGUGAGGGUAUUGGCAUGGUGCCCCAUAAUCAUUAUGGUGUUAACCUUGUUAUCAAGGUGAAAGGAGAUACUAAGGCGAUAGGGUACCCAAUGGCUUUAGGCAAAAAGCAAGGCAUGGGCCUUUUUGAAGCACAAAGCCUAACCUGAAUUGCCUAAAUAUUAUACACACACACACUCGCAUACACACACACACGCUUCUAAGUAUGGUUUUAAAUAAUGAACGUAACGGCCGUUAUUUAAAGGUUUUUUGGCUUACCGUUACCGUUACCACCUUUAUUUAACGGAUUUGUAAAUUUGUAAUUGUAAAAGCCGUUACGUCCAUUAUUUAAAGGUAAUGGCCAUUACUGACCUUUAAGUAACGGUCAUAACAACCGCUACUUUUCCAACUUAGUUUUCUAGGU